rnacentral:tRNA from 1 species
GCCGGAGUGGCGGAACUGGUAGACGCGCUAGAUUCAGGGUCUAGUGGCCUUCGGGCCGUGGAGGUUCAAGUCCUCUCUCCGGCACCA